AUCAUCCUAACAGAGGAGUAGAUUACAUCUAUCAUCCUAAUGGAGGAGUAGAUUACAUCUAUCAUCCUAAUGGAGGUGUAGAUUACAUCUAUCAUCCUAAUGGAGGUGUAGAUUACAUCUAUCAUCCUAAUGGAGGUGUAGAUUACAUCUAUCAUCCUAAUGGAGGUGUAGAUUACAUCUAUCAUCCUAAUGGAGGUGUAGAUUACAUCUAUCAUCCUAACAGAGGAGUAGAUUACAUCUGUCAUCCUAACAGAGGAGUAGAUUACAUCUGUCAUCCUGUAGAUUACAUCUAUCAUCCUAAUGGAGGAGUAGAUUACAUCUAUCAUCCUAAUGGAGGAGUAGAUUACAUCUAUCAUCCUAACAGAGGAGUAGAUUACAUCUAUCAUCCUAACAGAGGAGUAGAUUACAUCUAUCAUCUAUCAUCCUAAUGGAGGUGUAGAUUACAUCUAUCAUCCUAAUGGAGGAGUAGAUUACAUCUAUCAUCUAUCAUCCUAAUGGAGGUGUAGAUUACAUCUAUCAUCCUAAUGGAGGAGUAGAUUACAUCUAUCAUCUAUCAUCCUAAUGGAGGUGUAGAUUACAUCUAUCAUCCUAACAGAGGAGUAGAUUACAUCUAUCAUCCUAAUGGAGGAGUAGAUCACAUCUAUCAUCCUAAUGGAGGAGUAGAUUACAUCUAUCAUCCUAAUGGAGGAGUAGAUUACAUCUAUCAUCCUAAUGGAGGAGUAGAUUACAUCUAUCAUCCUAAUGGAGGAGUAGAUUACAUCUAUCAUCCUAAUGGAGGAGUAGAUUACAUCUAUCAUCCUGUAGAUUACAUCUAUCAUCCUAAUGGAGGAGUAGAUUACAUCUAUCAUCUAUCAUCCUAAUGGAGGUGUAGAUUACAUCUAUCAUCCUAAUGGAGGAGUAGAUUACAUCUAUCAUCCUAAUGGAGGAGUAGAUUACAUCAAUCAUCUAUCAUCCUAAUGGAGGAGUAGAUUACAUCUAUCAUCCUAAUGGAGGAGUAGAUUACAUCUAUCAUCCUGUAGAUUACAUCUAUCAUCCUAAUGGAGGAGUAGAUUACAUCUAUCAUCCUAAUGGAGGUGUAGAUUACAUCUAUCAUCCUAAUGGAGGAGUAGAUUACAUCUAUCAUCUAUCAUCCUAAUGGAGGUGUAGAUUACAUCUAUCAUCCUAAUGGAGGAGUAGAUUACAUCUAUCAUCCUAAUGGAGGUGUAGAUUACAUCUAUCAUCCUAAUGGAGGAGUAGAUUACAUCUAUCAUCCUAAUGGAGGUGUAGAUUACAUCUAUCAUCCUAAUGGAGGAGUAGAUUACAUCUAUCAUCUAUCAUCCUAAUGGAGGAGUAGAUUACAUCUAUCAUCCUAAUGGAGGAGUAGAUUACAUCUGUCAUCCUGUAGAUUACAUCUAUCAUCCUAAUGGAGGAGUAGAUUACAUCUAUCAUC
rnacentral:lncRNA from 1 species